AUUGAACGCUGGCGGCAUGCCUUACACAUGCAAGUCGAACGGUAACAGGUCUUCGGAUGCUGACGAGUGGCGAACGGGUGAGUAAUACAUCGGAACGUGCCCGAUCGUGGGGGAUAACGGAGCGAAAGCUUUGCUAAUACCGCAUACGAUCUACGGAUGAAAGCAGGGGACCGCAAGGCCUUGCGCGGACGGAGCGGCCGAUGGCAGAUUAGGUAGUUGGUGGGAUAAAAGCUUACCAAGCCGACGAUCUGUAGCUGGUCUGAGAGGACGACCAGCCACACUGGGACUGAGACACGGCCCAGACUCCUACGGGAGGCAGCAGUGGGGAAUUUUGGACAAUGGGCGCAAGCCUGAUCCAGCCAUGCCGCGUGCAGGAUGAAGGCCUUCGGGUUGUAAACUGCUUUUGUACGGAACGAAAGAACUCUUUUCAAUUAAAGAGGGUACCUAGUGACGGUAACCGUAAGAAGUAAGACGACCGACUAACUAACGUGCCGAGCGAGCCGACGGUUAAACGG
rnacentral:rRNA from 1 species